rnacentral:rRNA from 1 species
GACGAACGCUGGCGGCGUGCUUAACACAUGCAAGUCGUACGGUAAGGCCCUUUCGGGGGUACACGAGUGGCGAACGGGUGAGUAACACGUGAGUAACCUGCCCACAACUUUGGGAUAACGCUAGGAAACUGGUGCUAAUACUGGAUAUGUGCUCCUGCUUCAUGGUGGGGGUUGGAAAGCUCCGGCGGUUGUGGAUGGACUCGCGGCCUAUCAGCUUGUUGGUGGGGUAGUGGCCUACCAAGGCGGCGACGGGUAGCCGCCCUGAGAGGGUGACCGGCCACAUUGGGACUGAGAUACGGCCCCGACACCGACGGGAGGCAGCAGGGGGGAAGAUUGCACAAUGGGCGCAAGCCGGAUGCAGAAACGCCGCGUGCGGGAUGACGGCCUUAGGGUUGUAAACCGCUUUCAGCAGGGACGAAGCUUUUUGUGACGGUACCUGCAGAAGAAGCACCGGCUAACUACGUG